CAACUAAAACUAGUGUUUCAAGUGAAUACAACCUGAUAUUAUAUCAUUCGUCACAACUCGGCCGAUUCCGUACCUUCGAUAGAAGAAGAGUAACGGAUUCACCCGAGGAUUGCCGAUUGAAUAUUAUACCAGUAGAACAAUGGAUUAUCGACUGGUCGAAAACUCAGAACAUGAAAGAACAGAAUUUAAAAUUCGUUCCGAUCUAAAACCGGAUAAAGUUUGUAAACUAAAAGGAAUUGCACACUUGAGAGAUCAGCGAAAAGGACUGGCGUUUGGACUAGCAGUUGGAUUUAUAGCAAACGUUUUGUUUUGUCUUGCUACUGGUUUGAUAGUUUACAACUGUCAUAGUGAUUUACCAAAUUCGGCUAGAAACACAACAGUUUACGUUUCAGAAACAAGGGCAGUCUAUGCCUCUGCGCCACAGAUUAUGAAUGAAUCAAACGGAGUCGCAUUCACAGCUCUAAUAAAGGAUUCAAAAUUUGACAGCGAUACGUUAAGAAAUAACAGUGUUAUUGUUUACGACUAUGUUGAAACGAAUGUCGGCAAUGGUUACAAUAGCACUUCCGGUAUGUUUGUUCCGCCAUAUAGCGGAACGUAUGCUUUCACUUGGUCUGUCUGCGUACUGGGAAAAAGAAAAACGGGGAGUAAUGGAGAAGUGUCUAUCCAACUUGUGAAAAACCGCAGAGUCAUAUUUACUGUUCAUUCGGAUACCGAGAUCAAAUGGGACGACGACUGUACCUCAGGAUUCAUCAUAGAAAAUCUGGUAGAAAAUGAUCAUGUCUUCACAAGAGCUACUCGACACUUGGAAGGGAGCAUAAAAAAUGACGCUGCUUCAAGAUGGGCUUUUUCGGGAUGGAAGCUGUUUUGAAACUUGACAAAUAAUGUCGUGUUGUAAAAUUAUACUUAGGUUUCUGAAGAGCGCUUUUAUGUUUUACCUUUCAAUAUUGGAAUACAAUUUUUCAUUUUCAUAGAAGGAUUGAAAGAAACGAACUUUUCCAGUGGAAGUUUGUGCUUUUGGUUGUAAUAAAUUUAGAAUUUUU